AAGUCGUAACAAGGUUUCCGUAGGUGAACCUGCGGAAGGAUCAUUAACACGUAUCCAAACGUUAAAACCCCCGCGAAGCUUGCAAUCUCUGGUAAAUCAUAGCCCGGAAAGUAGUUUGAUUCAGAGACCUCUGGCCCGUGCGAACAUUGGAACAGUUACAAUCGACUGCGGUAGUUCUAUAGGCAUUGUUUCCCCAAGCAGUCAGUGUCUGAAAGUGUCAUUGGCUGUGGAAGGAUAGCGCUUCACGAUUCCUGUAGACCGUACACUCGGGCAGGAGCUAUGCCAAAGGGUCCCCAUGCCCCCCUAUAACCCCACAGUUUAAUGUGAAGCUCAAUGUAAUACAUUGGGUAAAAAAACCGAACAACUGUUAACAAUGGAUAUCUUGGUUCUC
rnacentral:misc_RNA from 1 species